ensembl:processed_transcript 5530601H04Rik uncharacterized LOC110287359
AACACUAUUCCUCUAGCCUAGGUGAUAGAAUAUUCAAUAAAUCAAUGGGGAAAAUAAGUUAUAUGAAAAAAAAAUUAAACAUUUUUUAAACGAUGCUGUUAUUAAAUCCCUUGUGUGCCGUGUUCCCAGUUCACGCGCGCGCGAACACAUUCACUCACACACACACACACACGCCCGCCUUAACCACUUACAAGCAAGGCUCUAGAAGCAGGACGGUGGAAUUCAGGGAUGAAGAAGAAGAAUUUGCUACCUGUUUUGGAAGAACUAGCAGAGUAAGGACACAGUGUCCUGUUUUACAGAUACUUGCUCAGCCACAUUCAUCAUUGCUCUGUUCAUAACAGUUGAGAAUUGGAAACAACCUAAAUGCUUUCUCUCUCUGAUUUGUGGAUUCUAGAUCUGAAUCUUAAGAGUGAUCAGAAUAUAGGAUGGAUUGUCCAUGUGGAUGAAAUGCUCAAUACAGAAGAAUAACACAAAGGGGCAGACUGAAGCCCAUAACCCAAUUGCUACAUUACAAGUAAACAUGAGUAAACUCAAAAGACUCAACUAGCCUUUUAUUUCAGGAAGCAACCAAGCUGUUCAAAGAUUGGAGAGAAGAAAGGUGCAGAAGUAAAUGGCACUUCACGAAGAUUCAGUGGACUUCAGGGAAGACAUUAUGAUGAC